UGCCCAGCAACACCUAUCCUUACCUCCUCCUGGUACCGGCCGGAGACUAUGAGCAACCCUAGGGAAAG
rnacentral:ribozyme from 1 species